rnacentral:rRNA from 1 species
CGUAGGGCGCAAGCGUUGUCCGGAAUUAUUGGGCGUAAAGAGCUCGUAGGCGGUCUGUCGCGUCGGAUGUGAAAGCCCGGGGCUUAACCCCGGGUCUGCAUUCGAUACGGGCAGACUGGAGUGUGGUAGGGGAGAUCGGAAUUCCUGGUGUAGCGGUGAAAUGCGCAGAUAUCAGGAGGAACACCGGUGGCGAAGGCGGAUCUCUGGGCCAUUACUGACGCUGAGGAGCGAAAGCGCGGGGAGCGAACAGGAUUAGAUACCCUGGUAGUCCACGCCGUAAACGGUGGGAACUAGGUGUUGGCGACAUUCCACGUCGUCGGUGCCGCAGCUAACGCAUUAAGUUCCCCGCCUGGGGAGUACGGCCGCAAGGCUA